rnacentral:lncRNA from 1 species
GUGGAAGAAGGUCAAACAAACUUUUUGGCCGGCAUGGCUUUUAGAACCAAAGACUGAACCGGAUCAUGAUGCAGACUACAGGAAAAGUUGAAUGAUCCGAUCCACAGGAAGAAGAGGGCCGCGUUGAAUGCUCGUGUGAUAGUGGCGGCUGGAUUGGAAAGGCUGUUUCUGGGAUUCGACAUGCAAAGGAGCUUUGCGUUUGGCUAAGGAGCAGCGCAUGAGGACUCCAUUGUUUCUUCUUGAUCUACACAAGCAUUGGAUUAUGAAGGUAUGAGAUGUGACAUUUUUAAAGCUUGAGCUACCAUCAAACUGACUUUACAUUUACAUGGCCAUUUAAAAGAAGAAAAAGAUGUGUGCAGAGUAAAAAAAAGGGUUUGUCUGUUUGUUAUGGUUUAUUUGUCAGUGUUUACAAUGAGUUUGAGUCAAGUAUGUGCUGUGUAUAUGAUGUAAAUAAUGUGAAUGUUUUACAGUUCAAAUGGCUGAUAAAAGUGAAACUGGUGUUUCUAA